GACGAACGCUGGCGGCGUGCCUAACACAUGCAAGUCGAGCGAGGAGAGUUCCUUCGGGAACAAACCUAGCGGCGGACGGGUGAGUAACACGUGGGCAACCUGCCUUGUAGAGGGAAUAGCCUUCCGAAAAGGAAGAUUAAUACCGCAUAACAUUACAGUUUCGCACGAAACAGCAAUUAAAGGAGUAAUCCGCUACAAGAUGGGCCCGCGGCGCAUUAGCUAGUUGGUGAGGUAACGGCUCACCAAGGCGACGAUGCGUAGCCGACCUGAGAGGGUGAUCGGCCACAUUGGGACUGAGACACGGCCCAGACUCCUACGGGAGGCAGCAGUGGGGAAUAUUGCACAAUGGGGGAAACCCUGAUGCAGCAACGCCGCGUGAGUGAUGAAGGUUUUCGGAUCGUAAAGCUCUGUCUUCGGGGACGAUAAUGACGGUACCCGAGGAGGAAGCCACGGCUAACUACGUG
rnacentral:rRNA from 1 species